rnacentral:rRNA from 1 species
GAUGAACGCUGGCGGCGUGCCUAAUACAUGCAAGUCGAGCGAACGGACGAGAAGCUUGCUUCUCUGAUGUUAGCGGCGGACGGGUGAGUAACACGUGGAUAACCUACCUAUAAGACUGGGAUAACUUCGGGAAACCGGAGCUAAUACCGGAUAAUAUUUUGAACCGCAUGGUUCAAAAGUGAAAGACGGUCUUGCUGUCACUUAUAGAUGGAUCCGCGCUGCAUUAGCUAGUUGGUAAGGUAACGGCUUACCGAGGCAACGAUGCAUAGCCGACCUGAGAGGGGGAAGGGCCCCGUGGGAGAGGAGGAGCGGGCACGCCGCGAAGGGGAGGCAGGAGAGGGGAAUCUGCGGGAAGGGGGGAAAGCAUGAGGGGGAAACGGCGGGGGGGUGAAGAAGCUCUGCGGCGUGGAAAACGAUGUUAUACGGGAAGACAAAUUGUUUAAUAAAAGGGGAAAAACUGGAGGGAUCUGAUACAAAAAGCCCGGCUAAAUAUGGG